rnacentral:rRNA from 1 species
UACGAGGGGGCUAGCGUUGUUCGGAAUUACUGGGCGUAAAGCGCACGUAGGCGGCUUUGUAAGUUAGAGGUGAAAGCCCGGAGCUCAACUCCGGAAUUGCCUUUAAGACUGCAUCGCUAGAAUCAUGGAGAGGUGAGUGGAAUUCCGAGUGUAGAGGUGAAAUUCGUAGAUAUUCGGAAGAACACCAGUGGCGAAGGCGACUCACUGGACAUGUAUUGACGCUGAGGUGCGAAAGCGUGGGGAGCAAACAGG